rnacentral:lncRNA from 1 species
GUUCCAUUCAUUGUUCACACUUGUCUUAUGCAACUAUCACUACUACUUCUUUCCAAAAAUUUUUACUACGCCUAACAGAGAAGCUGUAAAUAUUAAGCAAUAACUCACCAUUUUCCCAUCCCCAAGUUCCUGAUAACCUGAAUUUAACUAGUCUAAAUAUUUCCUUUAAGUCUAAUCUCACCUAAUGUUUGCCACAAAGGAAGGCCUCAUCUGACUGAAGGUAGGAGGGCAAGAGAGAACCAACUUCUCCAUCAAACCCCUUAUAAGGGCAUCUAAUCCCAUCUGUGUCUGAUGAACACCAGUUAGCACAGUAUUUUCAGGGUUCCUCCGUGUUGUAGCAGGUGUCAGAACUUCAUACCAUUUUAAGACUGAAUACUAGUCCAUUGUAUGGCUAUACCACAUUUUGUUUAUCUGGUCAUCUAUGGUGGAUUCCUGGGCCAUGUCUACCUUUUGGCAAUUGAGAAUAGUGCUAUAGUGAACUUGGUGAUCCUGUUCCCUAUCUACAGGGUCGCCCUCCUUUUCCUCCUUUUUUAAAUAUUUUUUUGGUAUAAGGGAUUGAACUCAGAGGCACUGGACCACUGAGCCACAUCCCCAGCCCUAUUUUGUAUUUUAUUUAGAAACAGGGUCUCACUGAGCUGCUUAGCACUUCACUUUUGCUGGGCCUGGCUUUGAACUCAUGAUCCUCUUGCCUCAGCCUCCCAAGCCGCUGGGAUUACAGGCAUGUGCCACCACACCCGGCUCUUUUCCUCCUUUUCCCUUUCCUUCAAUCCCAUGGCAGCACCUGAAUCUUGGUUCUCAGACCUGUGGGGCUGCUCUGCUUCCAGCUGUGCCACCUCCACACACACACACACACUCAAGCAGAAAUAGAAAUUUUAAAAUAAAGAGAAGUUAAUGAUUGCACUAAUUAUAUUUCUAUGUCUAAAAAUUAUCUAAAAUUUUUUGAAAAACUAUAGAAAAAUUAGAAGAGGGAGAAUGUUCCCAUAAUUCUACCACUUUAAUACAAGCGAC